GGGGUGCACCAGGCGCGAAAACUUUACAAUGCGGGAAACCGUGAUAAGGGGACACCGAGUGCCAGCAUCAUAUGCUGGCUGUCCAGGUGUGUAAAAUACACCUGUUAGCAAGGGCCGGGCAAGACCGGUGCCAGCCGCCGCGGUAACACCGGCGGCCCGAGUGGUGAUCGUGAUUAUUGGGUCUAAAGGGUCCGUAGCCGGUUUGGUCAGUCCUCCGGGAAAUCUGACGGCUCAACCGUUAGGCUUUCGGGGGAUACUGCCAGGCUUGGAACCGGGAGAGGUAAGAGGUACUACAGGGGUAGGAGUGAAAUCUUGUAAUCCCUGUGAGACCACCUGUGGCGAAGGCGUCUUACCAGAACGGGUUCGACGGUGAGGGACGAAAGCUGGGGGCACGAACCGGAUUAGAUACCCGGGUAGUCUCAGCCGUAAACGAUGCUCGCUAGGUGUCAGGCAUGGCGCGACCGUGUCUGGUGCCGCAGGGAAGCCGUGAAGCGAGCCACCUGGGAAGUACGGCCGCAAGGCUGAAACUUAAAGGAAUUGGCGGGGGAGCAC
rnacentral:rRNA from 1 species